rnacentral:rRNA from 1 species
UGGGGAAUCUUGCACAAUGGGGGAAACCCUGACCCAGCAACGCCGCGUGAAGGACGAAGGCCUUCGGGUUGUAAACUUCUUUGAUCAGGGACGAAAAAAAUGACGGUACCUGAAGAACAAGCCACGGCUAACUACGUGCCAGCAGCCGCGGUAAUACGUAGGUGGCGAGCGUUAUCCGGAUUUACUGGGUGUAAAGGGCGUGUAGGCGGGUUUGCAAGUCGGAUGUGAAAUUUCCGGGCUUAACCCGGGCAGGUCAUCCGAAACUGCAGAUCUUGAGUACUGGAGAGGAUAGUGGAAUUCCUAGUGUAGCGGUAAAAUGCGUAGAUAUUAGGAGGAACACCAGUGGCGAAGGCGGCUAUCUGGACAGUAACUGACGCUGAGGCGCGAAAGCGUGGGGAGCAAACA